AGCCCUAAGAGGCAUGAAGUGAUAAUUCCUGUUCUUCUGACAUUUCCCAGGCUGCCACCUCCACAGAAUCCUGGGGUUGUUCAUCACAGGGGCCAUUGGUUGAACAUUCUAUUGAGUGUUCCUGACUCCAUUAAACUGUGAGCCCUGAAAUCACACCCUUCAGUACCAAACUAGUGCCUGAACUGGUCCUCCUGAAAUCAACUGAAAGGCCAGUAGAUCAGGGGUUGCCCAUCCUCUGUGACUUUAGAUGAGAAUUUUGCUGUCUGGACCAAGCUAAAGUACCAAAAGAAAACACACUUUUGCAUUGGGAUCCAUCACAGACAAGGCAUCCGGUGAGUGGUUCCCAGGGAAGAGGGAAACCCAGUCCUGGCACUGCACCCAUUCUGUGCUCCCUGGGUGCUUUUACAGCUGCAGUGGCUUCAUACCGGUUCUCCCUGGCUCUCAGGGAUCUUUGUCUUCUGCAAGAGCUCCUCAGGUGUUGUUGCACCUUUCAGAGUGGCCUUGCACAGGCUCUGUUCCUAGAUUUUUGCUCUUAUUCUUCACAACGUCCUUUCUAAGUCCCUCUAUGUGUGGGACUGCAUUGAUAUCAAGUUAAUGGUUCCCAAAUUUGCAUCUUUGCUUUUAUAUCUUCUUGUGCUUCACUCCACUAUCACCACCUAUGAGCUGAAUGUCUUUUCAAAGAUGUCCUGGGGUCACCUUCCGUGUGCUGUGUAGUAACAAAUGUCUUUUCUUUUCCUUCACCCAAAACCUACAGGGGACACUGCUUGAGUUAUCUGUGGAUGACACUCGGAAUUGUCAAAAGCUCCAUGUCUUGGAGGCUGAUUAGAACUGUUCUUAGUUCUGUGCUGGUAAAUGUUUAACAACCAGUGUUCUCAACAACAGCAGCCAACCCUGGUGUGUACCAUUUGCUCAUUACCAGGAUGUAAAUAUUUCCACCCAGGUAAUUUAACUUAGGUGAGAGUUACCGAUGGUAGAGUUGGGAGGAAAUGUACACCAUUGGCUUUCGUGAGCUGGGACAAGCUGCCUAUAUCAUACCACAGAUAGUUCUGAAUUUAAUUCUGGUCAUCUGGGAAGAACUGAUGUGUGCAUUCAAUAACUGAUAUUGCAUGAAAGAAUCACAUAAUGCACAAUAUGACAAAGUAGAUGUAUUCAAUUUAAGUUUUGUUUGCAUGCACAGAAUUUACCUAUGCAUAGAACCUAGACUUGGGUAUUUAUUGGCUAAGGGUGAGCUUUAAUUUCAUCAAUGCAGUUCAAAAAAAUCAUGAACCUGUACAGAAGUUCGGGAAAUACAGACUGGGUAAGAAAACAGUGAUGUGGAUGAAUACGCUCAGCAAGUCAAUACUUAGGGAGUGUUGACUGGCUCAAGGUCAGUCUGGCUGAAGGUUUCUGACAGCAUGCCAUUGGGUUCAGCCUUUGUGCUGAACAAUUAUAUUUGUGAUAUAACUAUAAACAUUGUCAUGACUCAGUGCAUGGAAGAAUAGUUAUUGAAGAGCAUGGAAAAGUCAUGGUUUCAAAGAAAAUGUUGACAAAUUAAAAUAAUGAAUCACCAUAACAACAGAAAGAAAGUUAACAAUAGCAAGUCAGAUUAUGUGUUU
rnacentral:lncRNA from 1 species